GUUUCACGGCUUUCACCAUUAGCUGUCAUUCACUUCUCCUCCCCGUCUCUCUCUCUCUCUCCCUCUCCCUCUCCUCUCCUCUCCUCUCAUGUCGAUCUUAGUCCUUCUCUCUUCUCCUCCAUCAAUCUUAGAGAAAAAAUGGUUAAAUUGGGGGUUUUAAUUUUCUUUAUAGAUCCAAGGGGUUAUUGACGUGUUGUUGUGGUUCGUUGUAAAGAGAUCUUGUUAUUAUUGACGUGUUGUUGUGGUUCGUUGCGAAUAGAUCUUUUGUACAUUAUCUUCAUGUGCUUCUGGAGAAGGAUCAGAAGGGUAUAUAUUUUAAUUUGAGAACUUCAGCGAUGGAGAUAUGUGUCGGGAUUUUGUGAGGGUAUGGUUAAAGUUUUUGGUCUUAAUGAUAUUUAGCAUGACACUUUGUGAACAACCAAGGUCCUUGAGAAGCACCUAGAUGUUCCCAAAAAGGAUUCUGAAGGACCUACUCAAUUAAGUUCAGAAGAAAUGGAGAGAUGAAUAAAACUUUUGCAAGAAGACAAGUAACUGACCAACAAUGUUUAAAUGUCGAAGGAUUUCUAUUUGUAUUGAUCGGAGCCAUGAAGGGCCGUUGAUUCAAGAAAUUACCAUGACGAGAGCAACGAAACCUCGUUUUCUUAUGUUUUGUUCCCACAAGGUUUAUUGAAUAUGGAUACUGGUUAUUUUUUGCAGUGAGCUUAUGAAACUUCAUAAACAGUUGGUAAUUGGUAAAAUUUUCACAGAGGAUGAGUUCUGGGCAACUAGAAAGAAGGUGGAAAUAAAAGAUCAUCUCCAACCCAACGAGUGGGAUUUAAAAGUGCUAUGAUAUCAGACUUCAAGCCACUAAUUGAUGGUCGAGUACUGUAUGAAAUCUCUUUCUCUCACUCAUUCCCUAAAAUAAGCUGUUGAAUGUGUUGGAUUUUUUUAAUUGGUACAGAGUGUGUAUGUGCACACUAUUUUCGGGGAGGGCGGGGGAUCCUUUGUAACCUCUGUAUUCACAAAGACAACUAACCACAUAUCAUUGAUUUGAGGUUAUGGACUCUAUGCUUGGGCUUUUCUAGAAGUACCUAUAUUUUUUUUCUCUGGUUUAAUAGGGUUUUGUGUGAGAUAUUAUUUUUAAUUCUUAUGCUUGAGCUUUCUCAUGAUCCUUUUUAGAAGAGCUUAGCUGUUUAUUUAAUUUCAAGUGGAGCUUUGGAUGAAUUUUGAUCAAACUGAGUUCUUGUAGCUCACGACUAGGCCAGCCACAUCUUCACCCGUAGAUAUGAUUUCUGAGCACACAAUCUAUCUUUCUAUCUCAAUAGAAAAAUCAAUCAUUCUUCACGGUUUCAUUGUCUACAAUAUUUUGGAGUUACUGGAGACACAUUGUUGUCCUUUUUUUAGUGAAGCAGAUGUUCAUUGUAUUCCUGGUGCAUUUUUUAUGUGGCAAAGAACUUGAGUUUGGGAAUCGAAUUAGAGAAUCAUUUCUUUCCAUGUUGAGGCAAAUAAUUAUCAUAAAAAUUUGUACUUUUGGAUGUCAAGAAAUAUGUUCUUAAACUUAUUUUACUAUAGAGAACUUCAUAGGUGUUUAUAUUAUGUGUAUUUUAGACGGUCUUAUGUCGUGAUUAUGAAGUUGCAACUCUCUGCUCAUUUUCUUAUUUCUAAAGCCAAACUUAACUAGAAUAGUUUGUAAGUAUGGAACCACCCUGUUCCGAGAUGCUAAAUUACGUAAAGGCUUAUACUUCGUAAUUGGUCUUGAUUAUUAUAUGGUGACACCUUAUCAUGCUUUAUGACAUGACUAGAUUCUAUUGCUGUGAUUGUGGAAUGAAAGUUUUUUAAACUAGUGAAGUAAAUUUUUACCUUGUUAUCUGUCCAUAAUGCAGAAAGUAUGAUGCCAAAAUUUUAUGAAAUUCAUGAAAACCUACAGAGUGGCUGCCUUCUUAAUCUACUAGAUCUGGUUUUGUGAAUAAAAGAUUGUAAGUGGGAUGUUAUAUAAAUUGCUUAGUGUUAUAGUAACUUUUACUGCUCAUGCAUGAUGCAUUGACUAGUUCUUCUGUUAUCUUUUUUGUUGCUUGUUAUGACUAUGGUUUUCAACAAUGUGUUAAUUCUCUCUUUUUUUUUUUCCUCUCAGACAAAUAAAGUUAUCUUUAAAUUGAUCAGAUUUACAAUGGUACUUGAGUUUCUCGAAUCUAUCCUAGAAGAAAACAAGAAAUAAAAAAAGACACCUAGGUGCUUGUUACUUGUUCUAGAGUCAACACGGGUUGAGAUUACUGUUUUUCUUAAUGAGCUGGCAUACUUAAAAUAAGAAGCAGCUUCAUCAAAUCCUAAGGCCUUCCUUUUAAAGAGGUGUAUGAAUUGAUGGAGGAGAGUUAGGUGAGGGGAAAACAGUGUUGCCAGUUCCUGUACUGUUCGCUGGUCCAGAAGAAGAAUGUUGUUUUCUUAUUCUAUUGUUCAGUUUUAUUUGCUGCUGUUAGUGUUCUAUUAGUCCAGCACCAAUUAUGUAUAUAGUGUUCUAAGGAAAAAAAAUUGUUGUUUCUUGAUUUAUUAGCUUUGUGGCCAACUAUACUAAUUAAAAUUGUGGAAUAAAUAAAUUUUUUUAUUGAGUAAUAAAGCACAAAAUGACGACAACCC